CCCGUAGGCUCUCCCAGGGGUGGAGGCUUCCGGCCUGGACUGUUUGGAGAGAAGCCCCGGUCAGCAGGAGGAAAUCUCUGCAAGGUCAGGGCCGCAGGAGUGGAGUUCACAGGGAUGGUUGGAGACCUGGCUCAGAGCAAGCACCCGGACAUAAAUCUGUCAGAAGCUGCCUAACUCGGGAGGCACCAACCACAGGACAGAGCACCUUUCGGCCUCUUCCUCAUGCUGAGACGGAGAUCCGGUCAGGAGGGACUGGGCGAGAGCUUGCAGCUCUUUGGAAACCACACAGCAAUGGAGUUCUGCAGGUUUCUGCUACUGGCAGCUGCCCAUGGCGGGUGUGCACUUUUCCCAUCACCCCUGGUUAUAAAUCUGGCUCUGCUGCAUUUACUGCUUGCUUGAUGAGCUGUUCUAGCGAUAGGCUGCAUGUGUGAC